rnacentral:rRNA from 1 species
UACGGGGGGGGCAAGCGUUGUUCGGAAUUACUGGGCGUAAAGCGCGCGUAGGCGGCUUUGCAAGCCGGAUGUGAAAUCCCCGGGCUUAACCUGGGAACUGCAUUCGGGACUGCAUUGCUAGAGUAUGGGAGAGGGAAGUGGAAUUUCCGGUGUAGCGGUGAAAUGCGUAGAUAUCGGAAGGAACAUCAGUGGCGAAAGCGACUUCCUGGACCAAUACUGACGCUCAUGUGCGAAAGCGUGGGGAGCAAACAGG